GGAUGAUACACAUCUGUUGAAUUGCAACAUUGUGAGAGUUACUAGAAUGGAUUCUCUUUCUACAAAUAAGAACUCUCACCAAUGCAAUGACCUGUGUGUCCUAGACCCUCUGUCCAGCUCAUUCUUUCUCCAGCACCAUCUACACCUUCUCCUUUGCUUCACCUAUUCCCAAGUCAAAAUCAUAUGCCAAUUCUGGCUCAUGUAGACUUAUUCACGUGAUGGACAUCCUUGGAAAAUAAAGUGUUUGUUCUCUAGUCA
rnacentral:lncRNA from 12 species